AGAGCGAACGCUGGCGGCAGGCUUAACACAUGCAAGUCGAGCGGAUGUAGCAAUACAUCAGCGGCAGACGGGUGAGUAACACGUGGGAACGUACCUUUUGGUUCGGAACAACACAGGGAAACUUGUGCUAAUACCGGAUAAGCCCUUACGGGGAAAGAUUUAUCGCCGAAAGAUCGGCCCGCGUCUGAUUAGCUAGUUGGUGAGGUAAUGGCUCACCAAGGCGACGAUCAGUAGCUGGUCUGAGAGGAUGAUCAGCCACAUUGGGACUGAGACACGGCCCAAACUCCUACGGGAGGCAGCAGUGGGGAAUAUUGGACAAUGGGCGCAAGCCUGAUCCAGCCAUGCCGCGUGAGUGAUGAAGGCCCUAGGGUUGUAAAGCUCUUUCGCUCGGGACGAUAAUGACGGUACCGAGAUAAGAAGCCCGGCUAACUUCGCGCCAGCAGCCGC
rnacentral:rRNA from 1 species